CACUAAUUUAAAUUCAAAGUAUGUUGAUUGGAAUGCUGACAGCCCAAGCUAAGGUACCUAAGAGUCUAUUACGGCAGUGGCACUACUGCAUUAUUAACAAACACAUCCAUCACAUAGUCUACUUACUAGUGAGUAUUAGUUACAUGUCAGGAAGAGCUGAAAGGAUUAUGCUGAUUUUUGCCAGAAUACCUGUACAGGACGAUAGUGCUAGCAGCUUCCAAGCAUGGCUGUAAUAACAACCGGCACCCUCCGACUAAUUCCAUGCCAUGUAAUGUUCUCUCCUGAAUAAAUAGUCACCUUCUCUUGCACAGCACACAACCUCAAGCUUGUUUCACCUUUCUCAGCACCGGAUGUGCUGCCCAUGCUUUUCUUUAUCAGAGAGCCUUCCUCCACCUCAUCCCUCAAAAUCAAAUCAUUCAGAGUCAUCAUACUGUCACCAACUGACCUGAAUUUCAGCACUCUUACUCCAUCUUACAUAGAAAAUACAGUCAAACAUGACAGCACAAACCAAGUUGCUGGAUGCAAAACCAUAAUCCAUAAAGCCACAAACUGGUGGUCCUUAACCGUUGUAAUGGAGUUUCUGAUUUUGUGAGCCUUGGACUUGUGGGGCUUGAGGCUGUUGAGGUUGGGAACUUUGCAUGUUCAAUGGUUGGGUGUUGUAAUGCCCAAAAGGCUGCGAGUACAGUGGAUUGAGUAAACUCUGAGAGUGAAGUGGAUUUGCAUUGGACAUGCCAAAAUGGUUUUGUGAACUGUCCUCUUGUGAUGGAUCGCUGUAUCCAGCUUGUGUGAAGAGACCUUGGGAUCCAUAAGUCAUGUAAUCCUGUGACAUAAAUUCAUUUCCUGAACCAAAACGUGAGUAUCCAGCUUGUGAAUUCCGGUUCAAAUAAUUUCCUGGAAAACCAGCCUGUGCUCCCU
rnacentral:misc_RNA from 1 species